rnacentral:rRNA from 1 species
AUUGAACGCUGGCGGCAGGCCUAACACAUGCAAGUCGAACGGUAACAGGAAGCAGCUUGCUGCUUUGCUGACGAGUGGCGGACGGGUGAGUAAUGUCUGGGAAACUGCCUGAUGGAGGGGGAUAACUACUGGAAACGGUAGCUAAUACCGCAUAACGUCGCAAGACCAAAGAGGGGGACCUUAGGGCCUCUUGCCAUCGGAUGUGCCCAGAUGGGAUUAGCUAGUAGGUGGGGUAACGGCUCACCUAGGCGACGAUCCCUAGCUGGUCUGAGAGGAUGACCAGCCACACUGGAACUGAGACACGGUCCAGACUCCUACGGGAGGCAGCAGUGGGGAAUAUUGCACAAUGGGCGCAAGCCUGAUGCAGCCAUGCUGCGUGUAUGAAGAAGGCCUUCGGGUUGUAAAGUACUUUCAGCGGGGAGGAAGGGAGUAAAGUUAAUACCUUUGCUCAUUGACGUUACCCGCAGAAGAAGCACCGGCUAACUCCGUG